AUUCAGCUAACGAGUCCCAAAUAGAACGAAACGUGCGUCCUGGAU
rfam:Schistosoma mansoni strain Puerto Rico chromosome 6, complete genome